rnacentral:rRNA from 1 species
GGAAUUCGAUUAACGCGAAGAACCUUACUUGGGUUAGACAACGGCGGACCAUCCUAGAAAUAGGAUUUUCCUUUCGGGGACCGCCGGUUCAGGUGCUGCAUGGCUGUCGUCAGCUCGUGCCGUGAGGUGUUGGGUUAAGUCCCGCAACGAGCGCAACCCUCGUCCUUAGUUGCCACCAUUCAGUUGGGCACUCUAGGGAGACUGCCGGCGUUAAGCCGGAGGAAGGUGGGGACGACGUCAAGUCAUCAUGGCCCUUAUGUCCAGGGCCACACACGUGCUACAAUGGGCGGUACAAAGGGUCGCAAACCCGCGAGGGGGAGCCAAUCCCAAAAAGCCGCUCUCAGUUCGGAUUGGAGUCUGCAACUCGACUCCAUGAAGUUGGAAUCGCUAGUAAUCGCGGAUCAGCACGCCGCGGUGAAUACGUUCCCGGGCCUUGUCACACCGAAUCACUA